rnacentral:rRNA from 1 species
CUACGGGGUGCAGCAGUGGGGAAUAUUGGACAAUGGGGGAAACCCUGAUCCAGCAAUGCCGCGUGUGUGAAGAAGGCCUGCGGGUUGUAAAGCACUUUCGGUUGGGAGGACUGCUUCUAGCACUAAUAUUGUUGGAAGUUGACGUUACCUUCAGAAGAAGCACCGGCUAACUCCGUGCCAGCAGCCGCGGUAAUACGGAGGGUGCAAGCGUUAAUCGGAAUUACUGGGCGUAAAGCGCGCGUAGGCGGCUAGAUCAGUCGGGUGUGAAAGCCCCGGGCUUAACCUGGGAACUGCAUCCGAUACUGUCUAGCUUGAGUACAGGAGAGGAGAGUGGAAUUCCACAUGUAGCGGUGAAAUGCGUGGAUAUGUGGAGGAACACCAAUGGCGAAGGCAGCUCUCUGGCCUGAUACUGACGCUGAGGUGCGAAAGCGUGGGGAGCAACCAGGAUUAGAUACCCCUGUAGUC